rnacentral:tRNA from 1 species
GGGGAGGUAGCUCAGUGGCAGAGCAUUUGCCUAGCAUAUAGAAGUCCUGGGUUCCAUCCCUAGUCCUUCA